GUUCAGCUCCUCUUGUGGCCCAACACUUCAUGAAAUUCCUAGUGGUAGACCGUAGAUUAGCCUACCAUGGAGUAUUGGGAAGGCCCACCUUGAAAGAUUUUUGGGCUGUCACCUCUGUCCACUACUUGUGCAUGAAAUUUCCAACUGAACGUGGGAUUGCUACAGUACGAGGCGACCAAAUGGGCUCCAGGGCGUCUUACCUAAACUCUCUGCGAAAAUCGGAGCCCAGAACUGUUAAUGUGAUCAUAACAGAAGUUGCCAGUGAACCCAAUUUAGACGUAGAAAUGAUUGACGCCCCUGAACAAGGGCAUACCUCCGAAUAGGAGGAAGAUGUCGACAUGAAAGAGGCCCUAGAAGGGCACCAUCUUGAUGAAUUAGACCCCCGGAUCAUUCACUCUGAGCCAAAUGCGACCCCAAUGAAAGAACUUGAAACCUUCUUCGCCAACCCAUAGAACUCCAGUCAAGUCUUGCGAAUAGGAAAGGCGCUGCCCCCCAAAGCAAAAGAAGCAAUUGUGGGCUUCCUAAAAAGGAACUUAGAUGUCUUCGCUUGGAAGCAUGAAGACAUGGUGGGAAUAGAUCCAAGGAUCAAUUGCCAUCAUCUUAACAUCAACUCCUCUUGUGCCUCGCAUAGGCAGAAAAGGCGUGCCCUCAACCCGAAGCGCUACGAGGCACUCAAAGAUGAAGUAGACAAACUUAGCCACAGCGGCUUCAUCAGAGAAGCCAUCUUUUUGAUGUGGAUAUCCAACCCAAUCCUGGUGAAGAAGCCCAGCGAAAAGUGGAGAGUAUGCAUAGACUUCACAAACUUAAAUAAGGCAUGCCCUAAAGACAGCUUCCCACUUCCAAGGAUAGACCAACUUGUGGAUUCCACCGCCAGACAUGAACUCUUGAGCUUCAUGGAUGCAUACUCAGGGUAUAACCAGAUACCCAUGUUCCGACCCGAUGAGGAGGCUACGUCAUUCAUCACAGACAAGGGGCUGUACUGCUACAAAGUCAUGCCCUUCGGAUUGAAAAAUGCUGAUGCUACAUAUCAGAGGCUGGUCAACAUGAUGUUUGCCGAACUCAUUGGGAAAACCAUGGAAGUCUACGUGGACGACAUGCUAGUCAAAAGCCUUCAAGCCAACGAACACGUAAAUCACCUCGACCAAACCUUUCAGAUACUUAAAAAAUAUAAAAUGAAGUUGAACCCCCUCAAGUGCACCUUUGGAGUAGCUUCAGGUCAGUUUUUGGAAUACAUUGUAAACCAAAGAGGGAUUGAAGCGAACCCAGUGAAGAUAAUGGCCUUACUUGAAACGAGGUCACCUCAGAAACCAAAGGAAGUCUAAAGCCUCAAUGGUCGGAUAGCGGCACUCAGUCGCUUCAUCUCCAGAGGUACAGAUAAGAGCUUAUCCUUCUUCAAUGUGCUGAAGCAAGGAAAGAAGUUCCAAUGGACUUCUGAGUGCAAAGCAGCCUUCCAAACGCUGAACAAGCACUUGGGAGAGGCACCCCUGUUGUCAAAACCUCAACCAGAAAAGCCACUACUACUUUACUUGGCUGUUUCGGACGAGGCAGUCUGUGUUGUCCGAGUCAGAGAAGAAAACAAGCACCAGUUACCGGUAUACUAUGUCAGCAAAGCACUUCUCCCAGCUGAAACACGCUAUCCAGACAUGGAGCAAUUGGCACUCGCUUUCAUCACAGCCUUAAGGAAGCUGAGACCAUACUUUCAGGCCCACUCAAUUGAAAUUCUCACCAACUUCCCAUUAAAGCAAGUGUUGCAAAGAACGGACGCAUCAGGAUGCCUGCUAAAAUGGCGAUCGAGCUUAGUGAGUUCGACAUACUGUUUCGACCUCGACAUGCUAUUAAGGGUCAGGCCCUGCAGAUUUUGUGGCUGAGUUUGCCAAAGCCCCAGAAAUAGAGGUGACAAUGGAACCAGUCGAGCCCUCAACGUGGAAACUGUUCGUAGAUGGAUCCUCAGGAGAGGUCGGCUCCGGUGCAGGGAUCAUCUUGGAAAGCCCCGAAGGUCACAAGCUAAAUUGCGUAGUAAGGUUUGGCUUCAAAGCCUCGAACAACGCUGCCGAAUAUGAAGCCCUUCUAGUAGGCCUUAGAUUGGCAAGAGUAAUCCAGGUCAGAAGGCUCCUAGCAAGCAGCGAUUCUCAACUUGUAGUAAGCCAGGUCAAUGGAAACUUCGCUGCCGAAGACAGUAGCAUGGUUGUAUACUUGAAAUUGGUUCUGGACCUAGUUCCUCAUUUUGAAAGGUUUGAGCUGAUUCAAGUCCCACGCCUAGAGAAUACUCAUGCAGACGCCCUGUCAAAACUGGCCAACAGCAAGGAUUCAGAGCUACUAAAGAUUGUACCUAUUGAGCACUUAUCGAAGCCCUCCAUUUUCGGAGGUGAAGAGGUGCUAUGAAUAGAAAGCACCCUGGUAUGGAUGUAGCUCAUCAUCACCUACCUCAAGAAACAAUCACUUCUAGCCUCCACGAGCGAGGCAAGAAAGUUAAGAAGAAGGGCGGCACACUUCGUCCUACAAGAAGAUGUCCUCUACAAAAGAGGCUUCGCUUCGCCACUUCUCCGAUGUAUAGGAGGCGAAGAGGCUAUAUAUAUACUCAGGAAAAUCCAUGAGGAAAUUUGUGGAAAUCACUCCGGGGGAACGGCUUUGGCACACAAAGUGCUCCGACAAGGCAACUAUUAGCCGACCCUGAAAAGGGAUGCUUGCCAGCUUGUCCAGAAAUGUGACAGGUGUCAGCGCUUCUCUAAUAUUCAAAGGCAGCCUUCUCAGAGCCUCUCCGUAGUGACUAGCCCUUGGCCAUUCACCAAAUGGGGCAUCGACUUCGUUGGUCCACUCCCAAAAGGAAGAGGAAGUGUGAUUUUUGCCAUUGUCGCCAUCGACUAUGUCACUAAGUAGGUCGAAGCUGAACCCCUUGCAAAGAUCACCAAGGCGAAUACUAUAAAAUUUGUCUGAAAGAACAUCAUUUGCAGGUUUUGCAUUCCCCACUCUUUAGUAUUUUACAACGGGAGACAAUUCGAUAACAAGAAAAUAUGAAACUUAUGUGAUGAACUGGGCAUAAAGAAUGAUUUCUCGAUGCCUCAUCACCCACAAGCAAAUGGGCAAGUUGAGACAGUAAACAAAAUAAUCAAGCAUACCCUGAAAAGGAAGCUUGACACCUCAAAAGAAGCUUGGGUCGACGAGCUUCCCCAUGUCCUCUAGGCCAUCAGAACAACUAGCUGAACUGCAACAGGGGAGACACCCUUCUCCAUGACCUACGGAGAAGAAGCCAUGAGCCCGGUUGAAGUCGGAGUCCCAUCGCUUCACCGAAUACACUUCAAUGAAAUCAGUAACGACGAGGCUCGAAUGAGCGAACUCCACCUCCUUGAAGAAAGGAGGAAUGCCUCCCAGGUAAAUUUAGCAAAGUAUCAUAGAAAGAUGACCCGCUAUUAUAACUCCAAGGUUAGAAAUCGGACUCUUUGUCUGGGGGACCUCGUCCUUAGAAGGGUCUUUCAAUCAUCAAAGCCAACUGGGCCCGGAGUGUUAGGACCAAACUGGAAGGGUCCUUACCGUAUCCGCAGGGAAUCUCGACCUAGCACUUUUGAAAUUGAAGACAUGACAGAGAAAGUACUGCCUCAUCAGUGGAACAUCGAACAUUUGAGGAAGUACUAUCAAUAAUGAGCUUGUGUUCUGACCCGAUCUUAAUGAUAUCCAGUUAACGUGUGUCAUGAUUCGAUCUCAUUUGUAACUUUCCUAUCUUACUAAGUCCUAGAAAGGCCUUAGUGAAGGGUGAUAUAAUUCCUCUAAGUAAUGUUACUUCAGUUGUUUGUCACAUCAGUUAGUAAAUUGUUACCUCAGUUCUUCAUUGUGUUAAUUGGUCCGAUCUUCUGUUAUUAAUUGGUUAUUAGUAAUAGGCGCUUAAGUGGUUGUCAUUCAUAUACUUAAGUGUAAAUAACUCAACACGAUGAAGAAACAGAAGCGACAACACUUGUACAAAAAAAUUUCAUUUUCAUUCAUAUUGAGAAUUUAAUUACAGAAGAGGCCGAAGCCAUUACAAAAAU
rnacentral:lncRNA from 1 species